UGGGGAAUAUUGGACAAUGGGCGCAAGCCUGAUCCAGCAAUGCCGCGUGGAUGAAGAAGGUUUUCGGAUUGUAAAGUCCUUUCGGCGGGGACGAUGAUGACGGUACCCGCAGAAGAAGCCCCGGCUCACUUCGUGCCCGCAGCCGCGGUAAUACGAAGGGGGCUAGCGUUGCUCGGAAUGACUGGGCGUAAAGGGCGCGUAGGCGGACUGCUUUGUCGGGCGUGAAAUUCCAGGGCUCAACCUUGGGGCUGCGUUCGAGACGGGUAGUCUAGAGUUUGGAAGAGGGUCGUGGAAUUCCCAGUGUAGAGGUGAAAUUCGUAGAUAUUGGGAAGAACACCGGUGGCGAAGGCGGCGACCUGGUCCUUGACUGACGCUGAGGCGCGAAAGCGUGGGGAGCAAAC
rnacentral:rRNA from 1 species